rnacentral:sRNA from 1 species
GAGAAGCUUCGACUAAGGUUCGAUUCGAGCGCAGCGAGAAAACGUUGCCGCAGGCAACGACCCGAAGGGUGAGGAGCGGAGCGACGAAUAAUCCUUCCCCCACCACCA